AGUCACGCGCUUGAUGCGGCAGCUGGCGGCGUAGCCCCGGUUCUUCAGCGUGCGCCUCCGCUGCUUCAGACGGAUGACCUCCUCUUUGACUGCAGAUACCUGGAACGAAGAGCCAGGACACAAGAAAAACUACAGCAGAGAAUGAACAAUGCACAUGUGGUCCACCAUACAGCAGCUAUACCCAAAGCUUUUACUGUCUGCUGGAUCUGUGAGAAAACAGCACAGCGAGGACAGGGCAGGGAGGGAAGGACGUGGCUCACGCCGCAGCUGUGCAGGCAGCCAUGCACUGCCCAGGCCCCGCUGGCUCACCUCCCUCCAGAGGCAUCCAGACACUCCGGACGCCCUAUUAGGGACUGAUUGAAGAGUUAACUCUGCUCAUAAAAGGCACCGAAAAGCCACAAGACAACAACUCCAUUCUCAUUUCGAUGCUUAUUAACCCAGCUUGACACUGAAUCAGCAAGACAGAAAUAAGCUGCCUGGUUCAUCACCUGCUCCCAGCACCGUCCCCACCCAGCGCUCCCAGAAAACCCAAACACGAGAAACAAAAGCCCCCCGUGAUGACAAAGCACGGCAGCAGCUCGGCUCUCCCGCUGCCUGACGAUGCUCACAGCCCAGCAGCCUGAUGCUGUCUGGCGAGGCGGGCGCGUGUCCACCGACAGCAUCCUCCGCCAAGACGCUGCCCUUCACGCUCACCUUAGCCGAGGACAACACCCAGCCGCAGCUCAGCAACGUCCUCCCCUAAAACCAUCACCCUACGGCACGGCGCACAGCAGGUACCGGGGUACCUACCCCGGGAGGGGCGGGCUCAGCCGCUCCACCAUCACCGCCUCCGCCCGUCUCUCCCAGCCGGCAGGGCUCCACGCCGCGCCGGUCCGCCCCGACGCGCGGCUCCGAGGGCUGCGCAGCCGGCGGCACCGCGUCUGUCUGCCGGAGUCCUCCUCUCCUUCUCUCUCCCCCUCUCCCCACCCCUACCCAGCCGGGCCCAAACCCUCCCCAUUUUCACGUCUGCGUCGUGUCACACAUCCUAAUCAUUCAUGAAAAAUCCAGCCAAAGCAUCCCAAGCAUGAUUCCCGUCUGAUAGUUGCCAUGGUGACCUUGGGAAAGUAGCCAACCCCGAGACAGUCGUCAUGGCAACAGAGAAGCCCAAAAGCAAUAAUGACUUCAGGUCAUGUCUGUGCAAAGACAUCACCAAGUCGGCGGAGAGUAAACAAACUCAUUCAUAGCCGUGAACGGGGGGCGGAGGGAGCGGGGUUCCAAGGUGGGCAGUGAGGCUGCAGGACACCACCCCGGCUGUCGGGGCGUGCAUUUCGGUUCCUCCUCUCUUUUUCAGCACCAGACAGCCCAGUGUCGCACAUCUGCCAGAGGGCCGAGGACAGCCACGUCCCCCAGCCCCGCUCUGCGAUGAAUGGAGCUCGGAGCAACCGGCACACAGCACCUCCCCGAGCCCUGCUCUGCUCUCCUCCCCGCACACGGCUCCAGCAGCCCCUCCGUACGGCACCAAUCCCCGCAGGCCCCACAGACCCCUGCAUCGUCUGGCACCUCACUGACCUCCACCAGGCUUUGCCUUCAGACCUCAGCGCUGCCCUCUGCCCGUCCUCCUCCUCCUCCUCAUCGCUUCCCCUCCGCCGCCCACCCCUAUGUCCAGGCAGGCACGGAGGAGGAAGGAAAAGCUCGGACGGCCGAGGGGAGCCGAGCGCUGCCAGUGCGUAAAGGAAGCGGCCGGCAGCCCCCUCCCUGCACGCCGCGCAGGCACUUGGUGCCAUAGUUAUGCAGUGAGUCACCAGCUGUUUACAGAGCACAGCUCGCAUUCCCACAGCAUCAGGAACUCUUCCUCCCCUCGGUAUCCCCCCCCUCCCUCGCCGCCCCCCGGCCCUACAAGGAUGGGGUGCGCGGUGCGGCCGGAAAAGGGAAGGCUGAGCGGGCGGGCAGGCUGAAGUGGGGCGGCUGCACAGAACGGCCUUUGAUCUGCACCCAGCGGGGCUUCAAAGCGCCGACGGAAAAACUGAAUGGGGCGUGAGGCGAUGGAGACGUGCGGCGCACCGUGGAACAGAAGCGGGCAGAGGUGGGAGCCCCGUGCUGGGGCGGCCAUUCUGCCACCUGUCACCCCGUGACAUCAGAGCAGCACUGCAGAGCGAGGCCUCGUCCUGCGCCUCGUCCUGCACGGCACUCCGGAAAGACCCGUCACCGUGCUGUGCCACGUGCCAGAGCUGCUGCUGGCAGCGGGGCUGGAAGGCGGGUGGGCACGGCGGGGAAUGGCUCUCUUCAAACAUGGACGGGAGCGCCUGCCGCCUGCGGCUGGUGGAGCUGCUGGUGUGCUCCUGGCACCACAUCACCUUGGGCGAGCCACGGAAGCAGGGGAUGUACCAAGCCGUAGGAACCCACAUGGAUCACUGAGUCCAACUCCCAGCUCCACACAGGGCCUCUCAAACCCAAUCCCAAACCCAACCC